rnacentral:rRNA from 1 species
GAUGAACGCUAGCGGCAGGCUUAAUACAUGCAAGUCGAGGGGCAGCAUGAUUGUAGCAAUACAAUUGAUGGCGACCGGCAAACGGGUGCGGAACACGUACACAACCUCCCAAUAAGUGGGGAAUAGCCCAGAGAAAUUUGGAUUAAUACCCCGUAACAUAACGAUGUGGCAUCACAUUGUUAUUAUAGAUUUUUCGCUUAUUGAUUGGUGUGCGGCUGAUUAGAUAGUUGGCGGGGUAACGGCCCACCAAGUCGACGAUCAGUAGCUGAUGUGAGAGCAUGAUCAGCCACACGGGCACUGGGACACGGGCCCGACUCCUACGGGAGGCAGCAGUAAGGAAUAUUGGACAAUGGACGCAAGUCUGAUCCAGCCAUGCCGCGUGAAGGAUUAAGGUCCUCUGGAUUGUAAACUUCUUUUAUAAGGGACGAAAAAAGGCUUUUCUAAGUCGUCUGACGGUACCUUAUGAAUAAGCACCGGCUAACUCCGUGCCAGCAGCCGCCGUAAAAC